AUGUGCCUUCGGGCGGAUGCUUCUGUGGCCGGCCCCUGUAAGUGGCGUUAAAGCCCGGGUCUUACGCAAUGGAAAUCUGUGAACCGUGUCAGGUUGGGAACAAAGCAGCACUAAACGGAAUCUUCCAUGUGCCGUAAGGGUGCCUGAGUUCAGUUGGCUGCAGGGGUAACGCGCAGAAGUAUCCUCCCCAGGGCA
rnacentral:SRP_RNA from 1 species